rnacentral:tRNA from 1 species
GGGGUUUUAGCUCAGCGGUAGAGCUCUUGCCUUGUACAUGCAAGAGCCUGAGUUCAAUCCUCAGCACCA